UACGUAGGGUGCGAGCGUUACUCGGAAUUACUGGGCGUAAAGCGUGCGUAGGCGGUUCGUUGUGUCCGAUGUGAAAGCCCGGGGCUCAACCUGGGAACUGCAUUCAAAACUGACAAGCUAGAGUAUGGUAGAGGGUGGUGGAAUUUCCUGUGUAGCGGUGAAAUGCGUAGAUAUAGGAAGGAACACCAGUGGCGAAGGCGACCCCCUGGACUGAUACUGACACUGAGGUGCGAAAGCGUGGGGAGCAAACAGG
rnacentral:rRNA from 1 species